ACACACACACACACGUAUAUACUCAAAUUGGAAUGCUACUAAGAGAUUGGCAUGGCCCCUGUGCAAGGAUAACAUGCGAAUUCAUGAAGUGAUCCAUAUUUUU